rnacentral:rRNA from 1 species
CCCUUAGAUGUCCGGGGCCGCACGCGCGCUACAAUGGAUGAAUCAACGCGUCAUCCUGGCCCGAAAGGGUUGGGGAACCGCUGAACCUCAUCCGUGGUUGGGAUUGGGGUUUGUAAUUAUUCCCCAUGAACUAGGAAUUCCCAGUAAGCGCGAGUCAUAAGCUCGCGUUGAUUACGUCCCUGCCCUUUGUACACACCGCCCGUCGCUCCUACCGAUUGGGUGAUCCGGUGAAUGAUUCGGACCGGCGUAGUGCUAGCUACUAGUGCUGUACUGGAAAGUUUUGUGAACCUUAUCACCUGGAGGAAGGAGAAGUCGUAACA